rnacentral:rRNA from 1 species
UGGGGAAUUUUGGACAAUGGGGGAAACCCUGAUCCAGCCAUCCCGCGUGUGCGAUGAAGGCCUUCGGGUUGUAAAGCACUUUUGGCAGGAAAGAAACGUCAUGGGUUAAUACCCCGUGAAACUGACGGUACCUGCAGAAUAAGCACCGGCUAACUACGUGCCAGCAGCCGCGGUAAUACGUAGGGUGCAAGCGUUAAUCGGAAUUACUGGGCGUAAAGCGUGCGCAGGCGGUUCGGAAAGAAAGAUGUGAAAUCCCAGAGCUCAACUUUGGAACUGCAUUUUUAACUACCGGGCUAGAGUGUGUCAGAGGGAGGUGGAAUUCCGCGUGUAGCAGUGAAAUGCGUAGAUAUGCGGAGGAACACCGAUGGCGAAGGCAGCCUCCUGGGAUAACACUGACGCUCGUGCACGAAAGCGUGGGGAGCAAACAGG